rnacentral:rRNA from 1 species
AUUGAACGCUGGCGGCAGGCCUAACACAUGCAAGUCGAACGAGGGGCGGACGGGAGCGUAAUGUCGGUGAAACUGUCUGAUGGAGGGGGAUAACUACUGGAAACGGUAGCUUAUACCGAAUACCAGAAACUGUGCCCCGAUUGGGUGAGCUGGUUGGUGGGGUAACGGGUCACCAAGGCGACGAUCCCUAGCGGGUCUGAGAGGAUGACCAGCCACACUGGAACUGAGACACGGUCCAGACUCCGACGGGAGGCAGCAGUGGGGAAGAUUGCACAAUGGGCGAAAGCCUGAUGCAGCAAUGCCGCGUGUAUGAAGAAGGCCUUCGGGUUGUAAAGUACUUUCAGCGGGGAGGCGUUACCCGCAGAAGAAGCACCGGCUAACUCCGUGCCAGCAGCCGCGGUAAUAC